rnacentral:rRNA from 1 species
ACGAACGCUGGCGGCGCGCCUAACACAUGCAAGUCGAACGAGCGAGAGAGAGCUUGCUUUCUCGAGCGAGUGGCGAACGGGUGAGUAACGCGUGAGGAACCUGCCUCAAAGAGGGGGACAACAGUUGGAAACGACUGCUAAUACCGCAUAAGCCCACGGUGCCGCAUGGCACAGAGGGAAAAGGAGCAAUCCGCUUUGAGAUGGCCUCGCGUCCGAUUAGCUAGUUGGUGAGGUAAUGGCCCACCAAGGCGACGAUCGGUAGCCGGACUGAGAGGUUGAACGGCAACAUUGGGACUGAGACACGGCCCAGACUCCUACGGGAGGAAGCAGUGGGGAAUAUUGAACAAUGGGGGAAACCCUGAUGCAGCGACGCCGCGUGGAGGAAGAAGGUCUUCGGAUUGUAAACUCCUGUUGUUGGGGAAGAUAAUGACGGUACCCAACAAGGAAGUGACGGCUAACUACGUG